rnacentral:lncRNA from 1 species
AACACCUUUCUAAAUUUAUCCUUUGAAAAUUGUAAUUUUUUUAUUUUUCAAAAUUUGAAAUCUUAUCCCCAAAACCUCAUUUCUCAACUCUAAACCCUAAACUCUAAACUCUAAAUUCUAAACCGUAAACCCUAAACUCUAAACCCUAAACCCUAAACCAUAAACCCUAAACUCUAAACCCUAAACCCUAAACUCUAAAUCCUAAACCUUAAACGCUAAACCCUAAACCCUAAAUCCUAAACCCCACCCU